rnacentral:rRNA from 1 species
CUGAAACGCUGGCGGCGUGGUUUAAGACAUGCAAGUCGCACGGACUGGUAGCAAUACCAGUUAGUGGGCGCACGGGCGAGUAAUGUAUCGCUAACGUGCCCCGGACUCCGGGGAUAGCCGGCCGAAAGGUCGGGUAAUACCGGAUGAGACCACGGAGAGGCAUCUCUCUGUGCUCAAAGGUCCGCCGGUCUGGGAGCGGGCGAUAUCGUAUCAGCUAGUUGGUGGGGUGAUGGCCCACCAAGGCGACGACGCGUAGGCGGGACUGAGAGGUCGGCCCGCCACAUCGGGACUGAGACACUGCCCGGACUCCUACGGGGGGCUGCAGUAACGAAUCUUCCCCAAUGCACGAAAGUGUGAGGGAGCGACGCCGCGUGGAGGAUCAAGUCCUUCGGGAUGUAAACUCCUGUCAGGGGUUACCAAGUUCUGAGGAGCCCCAGAGGAAGUGGCAGCUAACUCUGUGCCAGCAGCCGCGGUAAGAACAGAGGCCACAAGCGUUAGGCGGAAUCACUGGGCUUUAAAGCGUGUGUAGGCGGAGGGCGUAAGUGUCUUGUGAAAUCCCCCGGCUCAACCGGGGAACCGCUGGGCAUACUGCGUCUCUUGGGCCAAUCAGGGGCAGCUGGAACAAACGGUGGAGCGGUUGAAAUGCGUAGAUAUCGUUUGGAACGCCAACGGCGAAAGCAGGCUGCUGGGAUUGUGCCGACGCUGAGACACGAAAGCCAGGGGGAGCGAACGGGAAUUAGAUACCCCCGGUAGUCCUGGCCCUAAACGAUGUCCACUAGAUCGCGGGUCCCUCUGACGGGCCCUCGCGGUCGGAGCAAAAGUGUUAAGUGGACCGCCUGGGAAGUACGGUCGCAAGGCUAAAACUCAAAGGAAUUGAUGGGGGCUCACACAAGCGGCGGAGCAUGUGGUUUAAUUCGAAGCAACGCGCAGAACCUUACCUGGGCUUGACAUGCUAGGAUUAUCCCUAUGAAAGUAGGGUAGGCCCUUCGGGGUACAACUAGUACAGGUGCUGCAUGGCUGUCGUCAGCUCGUGUCGUGAGAUGCCGGGUUAAGUCCCAUAACGAGCGAAAACCUUUGCCCUUAGUUACCAGCGGGUUAUGCCGGGGACUCUAAGGGGACUGCCGGUGUCAAACCGGAGGAAGGUGGAGAUGACGUCAAGUCCUCAUGGCCUUUUAUGCCCAGGGCCACACACGUGCUACAAUGGCGUCGACAGAGCGAACCUAAGCCGCAAGGCCAUGGCAAUCGCGCAAAAUGACGCCCCCAGUUCAGAUCGGAGGCUGCAACCCGCCUCCGUGAAGUUGGAAAUCGCUAGUAAUCGCGGAUCAGCUACGCCGCGGUGAAUGUGUUCCUGAGCCUUGUACACACCGCCCGUCAAGUCAUGGGAGCCGGGAAUGGCCGAAGUUCACCUCGAUACGGAGGUGCCUACGCCAGGCUCGGUGACUGGGACU